rnacentral:rRNA from 1 species
UGAGUACGAGUUGCUACGGCAGCGAAGUGGGUGAUGUCAAGCUUCCAAGAAAAGCCCUAUACCCGUUAAGGCAUGAUGGCCUGUACCCGAAACCGACACAGGUGGGGUGGUAGAGAAUACCGAGGGGCGCGAGAUAACUCUCUCUAAGGAACUCGGCAAAAUGGCCCCGUAACUUCGGGAGAAGGGGUGCCACCGCAAGGUGGUCGCAGUGAAGAGGCCCAGGCGACUGUUUACCAAAAACACAGGUCUCCGCUAAGUCGCAAGACGAUGUAUGGGGGCUGACGCCUGCCCAGUGCCGGAAGGUUAAGGAAGCUGGUCAGCGUAAGCGAAGCUAGCGACUGAAGCCCCGGUGAACGGCGGCCGUAACUAUAACGGUCCUAAGGUAGCGAAAUUCCUUGUCGGGUAAGUUCCGACCCGCACGAAAGGCGUAACGAUCUGGGCGCUGUCUCGGAGAGAGGCUCGGCGAAAUAGAAUUGUCUGUGAAGAUGCGGACUACGUGCACCCGGACAGAAAGACCCUAUGAAGCUUUACUGUAGCUUGGUAUUGUGCUCGGGCUCGGAAUGCGCAGGAUAGGUGGGAGGCUAUGAACCAUUGCUUGUGGGUGAUGGUGAGCCACUGGUGAGAUACCACUCUUUCCGAGCUAGAGUUCUAACAGCCACCCGUUAUCCGGGGGCUGGACAGUAUCAGGUGGGCAGUUUGACUGGGGCGGUCGCCUCCUAAAAGGUAACGGAGGCGCGCAAAGGUUUGCUCAGGCUGGUUGGAAAUCAGCCGACGAGUGUAAAAGCAGAAGCAAGCUUGACUGUGAGACCUACAAGUCGAACAGGGAGGAAACUCGGCUUUAGUGAUCCGACGGUUCUGCGUGGAACGGCCGUCGCUCAACGGAUAAAAGUUACUCUAGGAUAACAGGCUGAUCUCCCCCAAGAGUUCACAUCGACGGGGAGGUUUGGCACCUCGAUGUCGGCUCAUCGCAACCUGGGGCUGAAGUCGGUCCCAAGGGUUGGGCUGUUCGCCCAUUAAAGCGGUACGCGAGCUGGGUUCAGAACGUCGUGAGACAGUUCGGUCCAUAUCCGGUGCAUGCGCAGGAAUAUUGAGAGGAUUUCUCCCUAGUACGAGAGGACCGGGAGGAACGCACCUCUGGUGUACCAGUUAUCGUGCCAACGGUAAACGCUGGGUAGCCAUGUGCGGAGAGGAUAACCGCUGAAAGCAUCUAAGUGGGAAGCCCACCUCAAGAUGAGUAUUCCCAUGGGGUAACCCAGUAAGGUCACGGGAAGAACACCCGUUGAUAGGCUCUACGUGGAAGCGCAGUAAUGUGUGAAGCGGAGGAGUACUAAUAGACC